AUUGAACGCUGGCGGCAUGCCUUACACAUGCAAGUCGAACGGCAGCACGGGGGCGAACCCUGGUGGCGAGUGGCGAACGGGUGAGUAAUACAUCGGAACGUAUCCAGUCGUGGGGGAUAACCAGUCGAAAGAUUGGCUAAUACCGCAUGAGAUCGAAAGAUGAAAGCGGGGGACCCCAAGGGAAACUGAGGGGCCUCGCGCGAUCGGAGCGGCCGAUGUCGGAUUAGCAG
rnacentral:rRNA from 1 species